UGGCCAGACUCCUACGGGAGGCAGCAGUGGGGAAUAUUGCACAAUGGGGGAAACCCUGAUGCAGCAACGCCGCGUGAGUGAGGAAGUAUUUCGGUAUGUAAAGCUCUAUCAGCAGGGAAUAGAAAAGAAGGUACCUGAAAAAGAAGCCCCGGCUAACUACGUGCCAGCAGCCGCGGUAAUACGUAGGGGGCAAGCGUUAUCCGGAUUCACUGGGCGUAAAGGGAGCGCAGGCGGCACGGCAAGUCUGAUGUGAAAACCCGGGGCUCAACCCCGGGACUGCAUUGGAAACUGCCGGGCUGGAGUGUCGGAGGGGUAAGCGGAAUUCCUGGUGUAGCGGUGAAAUGCGUAGAUAUCAGGAGGAACACCGGUGGCGAAGGCGGCUUACUGGACGACAACUGACGCUGAGGCUCGAAAGCGUGGGGAGCAAACAGGAUUAGAUACCCCUGUA
rnacentral:rRNA from 1 species